UAUUUCUAACACAAGAACAAGAACAAUAAGAACAACAACAAUAAUAAUAACAACAACAAGAGCAAGAACAAGAAAAAGAAAAUAACAAGAACAAUAAAAACAACAACGAAAUAAAAUCAAUUGGAUCAUUAAACAUAAAAUCUCAACAACAACAACAACAAAACAAAAUCGACACAAUCGCUAAAUAUUAAAUAUCAACAAAAACAACAAUAAUAAAAACAACAACAAAAGAAAAACAACAACAACAAAAAU
rnacentral:lncRNA from 1 species